ensembl:snRNA U6 U6 spliceosomal RNA
GUGCUUGCUUUGGCAGGACAUUUACUAAAAUUGGAAUGAUACAAAGAAGAUUAGCAUGGCCCCUGCACAAGGAUGACAUGCAAAUUCAUGAAGCGUUCCAUAUUUAA